GGGAGGCAGCAGUGAGGAAUUUUGGACAAUGGGCGAAAGCCUGAUCCAGCCAUUCCGCGUGAGUGAAGAAGGCCUUCGGGUUGUAAAGCUCUUUCGGCAGGAACGAAACGGUGGAAUCUAAUACAGUCCACUAAUGACGGUACCUGAAGAAGAAGCACCGGCUAACUACGUGCCAGCAGCCGCGGUAAUACGUAGGGUGCGAGCGUUAAUCGGAAUUACUGGGCGUAAAGCGUGCGCAGGCGGUUUCGUAAGUCAGAUGUGAAAGCCCCGGGCUUAACCUGGGAAUUGCGUUUGAAACUGCGAGGCUAGAGUGUGUCAGAGGGGGGUAGAAUUCCACGUGUAGCAGUGAAAUGCGUAGAGAUGUGGAGGAAUACCGAUGGCGAAGGCAGCCCCCUGGGAUAACACUGACGCUCAUGCACGAAAGCGUGGGGAGCAAACAGGAUUAGAUACCCCGGUAGUCCG
rnacentral:rRNA from 1 species